AGUUAUAUAACUAUUAUUUGUUUGCUGGGAUGUUAUUGAUAUAAUGAAAACGAAUAAUCAAAUUAAUAAAAUGCUUCUUUAAAUUUCACAUCAAAAAAGGUGGAAGUCUUGCUAUGAAGACACUGAAGAAGUAGCGAAGAUAUUGAAGAAGGAUAAGCACCCCAGCAAACACAAGAAACAUUUAUAUAACUAUUAGUUAUAAUUUCCCACUCAACAAUAUAAUUGUUACAUGUCAUAUAGCAGUUAUAUAACGUUAUUUAAUGUUUGCUGGGACGAUAUUGCACUUCCUUAAUUUAUAAAUUUUUACUUGCGAAUAACAACAAAAUUCUGUAAGAAAGAUAUCUUAAGAAUUGGAAUCGUUUGUGCUCGGAUCUCGGAUCAAUUAUAAGUUGAUUCAUUCUACGAGAAAAAAAUAAUUUUGAAAGAUCAGGACUCGAUUAUACGAUUUCGCAUGUCUUGACGGAUGAAUUGAGCGCAAUGAGAUGAUUUAUCUUCUUAGUAUCAAUUAAACUGCAUUGGAACGUGAUGCAUUUGCAUUCCAAAGUACAUCAAGGAUGCAUGAUUGAAACGAUAAGAUGUCUUGACACUCCGGAUGAAUAGAAGCCAAUGAGAUUGAUCACAUUUAUCUUCCAAGUAUCAAUUAAACUGGAUAUGCAUAUUGGAACAUGACGCAUUUGCAUUUCAAAGGUUUUUUUGCGUAAGUCGACUAUGAUGACUAUCAACGUGCAAUUAAAUAAUCAUCAGCAACAUGGCUUUCGUCUAUUAGAAUAUGUCGAGAACGCAUGAUCGAAACGUUAAGAUGUCUUGAAAAGCGUCAAAAAACUGCUUUAAAAUGCUUCAUGAGAGACUUGUUGUUGAGACUUUUUAUGACAUGUUGUCUUAUAUGCAUUUUAUUUCAAUUAUAGGUAUAAUUUUACAUAAAUUUAGACAAAUUGCUUGGCAUACAUUAUAUUGC